rnacentral:rRNA from 1 species
AGUGAACGCUGGCGGUAGGCCUAACACAUGCAAGUCGAACGGCAGCACAGGAGAGCUUGCUCUCUGGGUGGCGAGUGGCGGACGGGUGAGGAAUACAUCGGAAUCUACUCUGUCGUGGGGGAUAACGUAGGGAAACUUACGCUAAUACCGCAUACGACCUACGGGUGAAAGCAGGGGAACUUCGGGCCUUGCGCGAUUGAAUGAGCCGAUGUCGGAUUAGCUAGUUGGCGGGGUCAAGGCCCAACAAGGCGACGAUCCGUAGCUGGUCUGAGAGGAUGAUCAGCCAACCUGGAACUGAGACACGGUCCAGACUCCUACGGGAGGCAGCAGUGGCGAAUAUUGGACAAUGGGCGCAAGCCUGAUCCAGCCAUACCGCGUGGGUGAAGAAGGCCUUCGGGUUGUAAAGCCCUUUUGUUGGGAAAGAAAUCCAGCUGGCUAAUACCCGGUUGGGAUGACGGUACCCAAAGAAUAAGCACCGGCUAACUUCGUGCCAGCCGCCGCAGUAA